rnacentral:rRNA from 1 species
AGUGAACGCUGGCGGUAGGCCUAACACAUGCAAGUCGAACGGCAGCACAGAGGAGCUUGCUCCUUGGGUGGCGAGUGGCGGACGGGUGAGGAAUACAUCGGAAUCUACUCUGUCGUGGGGGAUAACGUAGGAAAACUUACGCUAAUACCGCAUACGACCUACGGGUGAAAGCAGGGGACCUUCGGGCCUUGCGCGGUUGUAUGAGCCGAUGUCGGAUUAGCUAGUUGGCGGGGUAAAGGCCCACCAAGGCGACGAUCCGUAGCUGGUCUGAGAGGAUGAUCAGCCACACGGGAACUGAGACACGGUCCAGACUCCUACGGGAGGCAGCAGUGGGGAAUAUUGGACAAUGGGCGCAAGCCUGAUCCAGCCAUACCGCGUGGGUGAAGAAGGCCUUCGGGUUGUAAAGCCCUUUUGUUGGGAAAGAAAUCCAGCUGGCUAAUACCCGGUUGGGAUGACGGUACCCAAAGAAUAAGCACCGGCUAACUUCGUGCCAGCCGCCGCAGUAA